GUUCUAUGUCUAAAAUCUGGCUGUGACAUCUGAUCUCCAUGUUUGAUGCAGCCCAUCUGGCUAGCUUGGCAGGUGCCCCCUUCCUCCCUCACCUCCAUGUGUGUCCUUGCUGAAGAUGCUUGUUCAGUCAAAGAGGACGACCUUCCCCAAAUAGAGGAGGACCAGUCUUAGGUCAAGGGUAUAUAAGUAGCUGUGUUUCCCUGCUAGAACCUCCAAUCAAGCUCUCAAGGUCCGAUGGCUCACCUCCUCCUGUAGAUGGAUGCAGGGCAAGUACUGCUACUUCAGCAGACUCUGGAUGGGCUGGUCUGCUGGGAUGU
ensembl:misc_RNA 7SK 7SK RNA